AAGGUACUCCCUCCGUUUGGAAUUACUUGUCACAAAAAUGGAUGUAUCUAUAACUAAAAUACAUCUAGAUACAUUCAUUUCUUGGACGAGUAAUUCCGAACGGAGGGAGUACCUA
rnacentral:pre_miRNA from 1 species